GGAAUAUUGCACAAUGGGGGAAACCCUGAUGCAGCAACGCCGCGUGGAGGAUGAAGGUUCUAGGAUUGUAAACUCCUUUUCUGAGGGAAGAGCAAGGACGGUACCUCAGGAAUAAGUCACGGCUAACUACGUGCCAGCAGCCGCGGUAACACGUAGGUGGCAAGCGUUAUCCGGAUUUAUUGGGCGUAAAGCGCACGCAGGCGGUUAAUUAAGUUUGGCGUGAAAUCUCUCGGCUCAACCGGGAGGGGUCGUUGAAAACUGAUUAGCUUGAGGCAAUGAGAGGGAUGCAGAAUUCCUGGUGUAGUGGUGGAAUGCGUAGAUAUCAGGAGGAAUACCAGUGGCGAAAGCGGCAUCCUGGCAUUGUUCUGACGCUCAUGUGCGAAAGCGUGGGGAGCAAAC
rnacentral:rRNA from 1 species